UAACGCAUGCAAGUCGAACGAUAAAGCGAAUUUAUUCGCGAUUAAAGUGGCGAACGGGUGAGUAACGCGUGGGAAACCUGCCCUUCGAGUGGGGGAUAACAUUCCUAACGGAAUGCUAAUACCGCAUAACAUCACAGAUCGCAUGGUCUGUGCUCAAAGAUAGCCUCUACAUGUAAGCUGUCGCUUGAAGAUGGUCCCGCGUCCCAUUAGCUUGUUGGUAGGGUAAUGGCCUACCAAGGCAUCGAUGGGUAGCCGGCCUGAGAGGGUGACCGGCCACACUGGGACUGAGACACGGCCCAGACUCCUACGGGAGGCAGCAGUCGAGAGGCUUCGGCAAUGGGGGAAACCCUGACCGAGCGACGCCGCGUGGACGAUGAAGUUUUUCGGAAUGUAAAGUCCUGUCAUACGGGAUGAAAAGCCGAUUGGUUAAUAACCUUUUGGUCUGACAGUACCGUAAGAGGAAGCUCCGGCUAACUCCGUGCCAGCAGCCGCGGUAAUACGGGGGGAGCGAGCGUUAUUCGGAAUCAUUGGGCGUAAAGAGUUCGUAGGCGGUCAGAAUAGUCAGAGGUGAAAUCUAACGGCUUAACCGUUAAAUAGCCUUUGAAACUCUCUGACUUGAGUACGUGAGAGGAAAGCGGAAUUCCUGGUGUAGCGGUGAAAUGCGUAGAUAUCAGGAGGAACACCCGUGGCGAAGGCGGCUCUCUAUCUCGAUUCUGACGCUGAGGCGCGAAAGCCAGGGGAGCAAACGGGAUUAGAUACCCCGGUAGUCCUGGCCGUAAACGAUGGGCACUAGGUGUGGGAGGUAUCGACCCCUUCCGUGCCGCAGCUAACGCAUUAAGUGCCCCGCCUGGGGAGUACGAUCGCAAGAUUGAAACUCAAAGGAAUUGACGGGGGCCCGCACAAGCGGUGGAGUAUGUGGUUUAAUUCGAGACAACGCGAAGAACCUUACCUGGAUUUGACAUGUUUAGGACCGAGUGAAAGCAGUCUUUCCCUUCGGGGAUCUUUACACAGGUGCUGCAUGGCUGUCGUCAGCUCGUGCCGUGAGGUGUUGGGUUAAGUCCCGCAACGAGCGCAACCCUUAUCCUUAGUUGCCAUCAGGUUAUGCUGGGAACUCUAAGGAGACUGCCGGUGAUAAACCGGAGGAAGGUGGGGAUGACGUCAAGUCCUCAUGGCCCUUACAUCCCGGGCUACACACGUGCUACAAUGGCCGGUACAAUAGGAAUCAAUACCGCGAGGUGGAGCGAAUCCCAGAAAACCUGUCUCAGUUCGGAUUGUAGUCUGCAACUCGACUACAUGAAGGCGGAAUCGCUAGUAAGCGCGGAUCAGCAGGCCGCGCUGAAUACGUUCCCGGGCCUUGUACACACCGCCCGUCAAGCGAUGGAAGCUGGGGGUACCCGAAGUCGGUGACCUAACCUUAGGGAUG
rnacentral:rRNA from 1 species